UCCAGACCUGCGACCUCUCCAAUGU
rnacentral:piRNA from 1 species